rnacentral:rRNA from 1 species
AGACAGCAGUAGCCGCGGGAAUACGUAGGUGGCAAGCGUUGUCCGGAAUUAUUGGGCGUAAAGGGCUCGCAGGCGGUUUCUUAAGUCUGAUGUGAAAGCCCCCGGCUCAACCGGGGAGGGUCAUUGGAAACUGGGAAACUUGAGUGCAGAAGAGGAGAGUGGAAUUCCACGUGUAGCGGUGAAAUGCGUAGAGAUGUGGAGGAACACCAGUGGCGAAGGCGACUCUCUGGUCUGUAACUGACGCUGGGGAGCGAAAGCGUGGGGAGCGAACAGGAUUAGAUACCCGUGUAGUCCCUGUCUCUUAUUC